rnacentral:rRNA from 1 species
UACGGAGGGUGCAAGCGUUAUCCGGAUUCACUGGGGUUUAAAGGGUAGCGUAGGCGGGUUGGUAAGUCCGUGGUGAAAUCUCCAAGCUUAACUUGGAAACUGCCGUGGAUACUAUCAAUCUUGAAUAUAGUGGAGGUGAGCGGAAUAUGUCAUGUAGCGGUGAAAUGCUUAGAUAUGACAUAGAACACCCAUUGCGAAGGCAGC